rnacentral:rRNA from 1 species
GACGAACGCUGGCGGCGUGCUUAACGCAUGCAAGUCGAACGGAAAGGCCCUGCUUUUGUGCGGUGCUCGAGUGGCGAACAGGUGAGUAUAACGUGAGUAACCUGCCCUUGACUUUGGGAUAACUUCAGGAAACUGGGGCUCAUACCGGAUAGGAGCUCCUGAUACAUGGUGGGGGUUGGAAAAAUUCGUCGUUUGGGGAUGUAUGCGUGGCUUAUCGGCUUGUUGGUGGGGUAGUGGCUUACCAAGGCUUGGACGGGUAGCCGGCCUGCGAGGGUGACCGGCCACAUUGGGACUGAGGAACGGCCCAUACGGCAACGUGAGGCAGCAGUGGGAAAUAGUGCAAAAUGGGCGGAGGCCGGAUGCAGCAACGCCGGGUGGGGGAUGACUGUCUGCGGGGUGUAAACCGCUUUCGCCUGUGACGAAGCGUGAGUGACGGUAACGAGUAAAGAAGCACCGGCUAACUACGUG